GACGAACGCUGGCGGCGUGCUUAACACAUGCAAGUCGAACGAUGAAGCCGGAGCUUGCUCCGGUGGAUUAGUGGCGAACGGGUGAGUAACACGUGAGCAAUCUGCCCUUGACUCUGGGAUAACUGCGGGAAACUGUAGCUAAUACCGGAUACGACACCUUGGGGCAUCCCAGGGUGUGGAAAGAAUUUCGGUCAAGGAUGAGCUCGCGGCCUAUCAGCUAGUUGGUGAGGUAAUGGCUCACCAAGGCGACGACGGGUAGCCGGCCUGGGAGGGUGACCGGCCACACUGGAACUGAGACACGGUGCAGACUCCUACGGGAGGCAGCAGUGGGGAAUAUUGCACAAUGGGCGAAAGCCUGAUGCAGCAACGCCGCGUGAGGGAUGAAGGCCUUCGGGUUGCAAACCUCUUUUAGCAGGGAAGAAGCGAAAGUGACGGUACCUGCAGAAAAAGCACCGGCUAACUACGUGCCAGCCGCCGCGGUAA
rnacentral:rRNA from 1 species